rnacentral:rRNA from 1 species
AUUGAACGCUGGCGGCAUGCCUAACACAUGCAAGUCGAACGGGGCAGCAAUGCCUAGUGGCGGACGGGUGAGGAAUACGUAGGAAUCUGCCCUUAAGUGGGGGAUAACCAGGGGAAACCCUGACUAAUACCGCAUGAUCUCUUCGGAGCAAAGAGGGGGACCGCAAGGCCUCUCGCUUCUGGAUGAGCCUACGUCUGAUUAGCUAGUUGGUAGGGUAAAGGCCUACCAAGGCGACGAUCAGUAACUGGUCUGAGGGGAUGAUCAGUCACACCGGAACUGAGACACGGUCCGGACUCCUACGGGAGGCAGCAGUGGGGAAUAUUGGACAAUGGGCGCAAGCCUGAUCCAGCAAUGCCGCGUGUGUGAAGAAGGCCUUCGGGUUGUAAAGCACUUUAGCCUGGAAAGAGAAAACUUUGGUUAACACCCAAAGUCUUGACGGUACCAGGAGAAUAAGCACCGGCUAACCCUGUGCCAGCAGCCGCCGUAACAC